UACUAGAGUAGCACUCGCAUAUCAAUAAGCGGAGGAAAAGAAACUAACAAGGAUUCCCCUAGUAACGGCGAGUGAAGCGGGAAGAGCUCAAAUUUGAAAUCUUAAAGGGUUUCCCUUUACGAAUUGUAGUUUAAAGAAGUGUUUUCUGUUGAGGUUUUGGUAAAAGUUCUUUGGAAUAGGACAUCAUAGAGGGUGAGAAUCCCGUAUUUGACCUUUACUUUCAACUUUGUGAUACACUUUCAAAGAGUCGGAUUGUUUGGGAAUGCAGUCCAAAAUGGGUGGUAAAUUUCAUCUAAAGCUAAAUAUUGGCGAGAGACCGAUAGCGAACAAGUACCGUGAGGGAAAGAUGAAAAGAACUUUGAAAAGAGAGUUAAACAGUACGUGAAAUUGUCAAAAGGGAAGCGUUUGACACCAGUGUUGUUUUUCUGAAAAUCAAUUAAAGAACUGUUUAUGCUAAGUCGUUUAGACUUUAUCAGCUAUCUGCUUAGUUUUGAGCUUUUCUUUAAUGCACUUUUCAGUUAACAAGUCAACAUCAAUUUCUUUUGCUGUAAAAAAGCUUGAGGAAGGUGGCUUGAGAUUCGUCUUAAGUGUUUAUAGCCUCUUGCCUAUGCAGUCGGAGAGAUUGAGGUCUGCAGCGUAGAUCCUUCGGGGCUAAAUGCAUUUGUGCUAAGUUAUAGCAUUUUAUAGACAACUUGUUGACUAUGAUUUGUCUUGUAGCUUACUCGCUUAUGUUAUUUUACCUACGCUUAGGAUGUUGAACUCUAUCACACACAG
rnacentral:rRNA from 1 species